rnacentral:rRNA from 1 species
UACAGGGGGGGCAAGCGUUGUUCGGAAUUACUGGGCGUAAAGGGUCUGUAGGUGGCCAACUAAGUCAGACGUGAAAUCCCUCAGCUUAACUGGGGAACUGCGUCUGAUACUGGAUGGCUCGAGUGUGGGAGAGGAAUGCGGAAUUCCAGGUGUAGCGGUGAAAUGCGUAGAUAUCUGGAGGAACACCGGUGGCGAAGGCGGCAUUCUGGACCAUAACUGACACUGAGAGACGAAAGCCAGGGGAGCAAACAGG